CAUCAAAUUGAAACCCCGGUUCCCGUACAAUCACCGAAGUUAAGCAAUGUCGAGCCUGGUCAUUAUCUAGAUGAAUGACCGCUUGGGAAUACCAGGUGCUAUA